AAAAUACAUUUAGAGAAAAUCGAAAAUAACUUGGUUGGCGCUUUAAAGCGUCAACCUAGGAUGGCCUACACCAACUCUUUAGGAAACAUUGUGAAUGUCCGAAUUGGCCGACCCAUCUUUAAGCGUAAGCCAAGGGGUACCUUGGGCUAUGCUUUUCGGCAUUAGUCAAGAGGCAGUCUUUAAGCAGCGAUAGCAAUGGCUGGAGAAGAUAGAAGAUAGAGUACAAUAAUGCCGCAGCAGUAGUAGCAACGAGUGGGAAGAGAGAGAAGGAGCAUAGCUUGUGCAGUAGCUAGCAAGGAGGAGCAUAGCUUCAGAAGCAACAAUAGCAACGGCAACGGCACUAAAGAGAGAAGCAGCAGCAGCAAGGGCAGCAACAAGGAGAAAAGAAACAUCAGGAGCAAUUGCACAAGGGAGAGAAUGGGCGGGAGACUUAGCUCGGGAAGAGCAGCAUGUCGUGGAGGAGGAGGCCUAGGCCGAAGCUUGUAAGCGAUGGUUUAGGCAUGGUUUGGACCUAUGUUUUUUUAGCGUCGACUGAUGCUGCACUUUUGUCAAUGCUCUUUGAAAAGUGUCCACAGACCUAUACUGACUGAAUUUUAGGCAAUCCUUUAAAAACGUCGAAAAAUAUGAUGUCUACAUUUUUAUUUCGUCUCUUUGUGUUUUUCUCCAUAGUCACAUGGUUAAUUCUCUUCUCAUGUGUCACCUUA